rnacentral:rRNA from 1 species
GAUGAACGCUGGCGGCGUGCCUAAUACAUGCAAGUCGAGCGAACAGACGAGGAGCUUGCUCCUCUGACGUUAGCGGCGGACGGGUGAGUAACACGUGGAUAACCUACCUAUAAGACUGGGAUAACUUCGGGAAACCGGAGCUAAUACCGGAUAAUAUAUUGAACCGCAUGGUUCAAUAGUGAAAGACGGUUUUGCUGUCACUUAUAGAUGGAUUCGCGCCGCAUUAGCUAGUUGGUAAGGUAACGGCUUACCAAGGCGACGAUGCGUAGCCGACCUGAGAGGGUGAUCGGCCACACUGGAACUGAGACACGGUCCAGACUCCUACGGGAGGCAGCAGUAGGGAAUCUUCCGCAAUGGGCGAAAGCCUGACGGAGCAACGCCGCGUGAGUGAUGAAGGUCUUCGGAUCGUAAAACUCUGUUAUUAGGGAAGAACAAAUGUGUAAGUAACUAUGCACGUCUUGACGGUACCUAAUCAGAAAGCCACGGCUAACUACGUG